CCCUUAGAUGUUCUGGGCGGCCCGCGCACUGCAAUGGCGUGUGCAGCGAGUGCCGAAGUAGAGUUUUCCGAGGUAUUCUUGCAAUGCUCGUUUUGAUGGGGAUAGACCCUUGCAACUGUUGGUUUUGAACGAGGAAUUCCUUGUAAGCAUGGUUUAUCAUCCGACGCUGAAUGCGUCCCUGCCCUUUGUACACACCGCCCGUCGCUCCUACCGAUGAGUCGUCCGGUGAAGUUCGUAGACCUCGUGAUCGCGGAUCACUGGGGGAAGCAAAAUGAACCUCGCGGUUUAGAGGAAGGAGAAGUCGUAACA
rnacentral:rRNA from 1 species